rfam:Dipodomys ordii contig_9631, whole genome shotgun sequence.
GGGAAGGUGGCUCAGUGGUAGAGUGCUUGCCUUGCAUGCAUGAGGCCCUGGGUUCGAUUCUGCAGUACUA